GAAUUUUUAAGAAUGCAUUAUCAUAGGCAUUAUGAGAUAACCAUGAUUCUCUGGAUAUGAUUAUUCUUAUUUUAAAAGGUGAUAUUUAAAAUUUGCUGGGUUAUCUCAUCAUAAACUGAGAGCAUAAAGCUUAAAGAGUACCCAUACACUUUGCCCAAUGAAUGAUAAUACAAUAUUUGUCCUAUUUAUCAUCAAUAAUCAUUUAGUAUGUCUACAAUCUUUUAAAGAAAAAUUGAAAGGCAAACUUUUUAUACAUAAGAGGAUCACUGGAUCAGGCUGGUAUAAAUAUGAGGGCAUACUUUUGUUUGCUGCCUUUGUAUUAUUUCUAUCCAGAUAUCAAAAAAAAUGUACAGUUGUACUUUUUUCAUUAAAUUAUAAUCCG
rnacentral:lncRNA from 1 species